rnacentral:rRNA from 1 species
GUGGGGAAUUUUGCGCAAUGGGCGAAAGCCUGACGCAGCAACGCCGCGUGGAGGAUGAAGGCCUUCGGGUCGUAAACUCCUGUCAGGGGGGACGAAACCGGGAAACCGGGUGACUGUACCCCCGGAGGAAGCCACGGCUAACUCCGUGCCAGCAGCCGCGGUAAUACGGAGGUGGCAAGCGUUGUUCGGAAUUACUGGGCGUAAAGGGCGCGUAGGCGGCAUGGCAAGUCAGGUGUGAAAGCCCCGGGCUUAACUCGGGAACUGCAUCUGAAACUGCUUUGCUUGAGUCCUGGAGGGGGUAGUGGAAUUCCCAGUGUAGCGGUGAAAUGCGUAGAUAUUGGGAGGAACACCGGUGGCGAAGGCGGCUACCUGGACAGUGACUGACGCUGAGGCGCGAAAGCUAGGGGAGCGAACGGGAUUAGAAACCCCGGUAGUCC